rnacentral:lncRNA from 1 species
AUGUUCAAUUCUCAAAAUGAUCUGCCUAGAGGGAAAAGACGUUUCAUGUCAACACCUGCAACCUGUGUGAACAUAACAGAUUUUCAGAUGUAUGUCCUGCCUAAACCAUCCCUUGUCACUCCAAAAGGCUCAGAAGACCUAGAGUUUGCACAUGCAGGCCUGGGUAAAAGACUUCUGAGUCUUCCAGACAACUUUCAACAGAGAUUGUUUCUCAGCUUGAGGAUGAAUUUCCAAAAUUGAAAAGUCUACAAGGAGGUUGGAUGUUUUACAAAUCGACAGGUGGUGGUGGGCAGCGUAAGCUGUCAGUUAUUACAGUCACUGCCAUAUGAUUCAGUUGAAUUCUCAAAGAUGCCACAGGCAAACUGCAUGAAGUGUGACCACAAAAAUCCACUGCAGUUGUCUAAAUCUAUGAAAUGUUAGGAGUAGUGAAGUUUACAUGAAGUGUGACCACAAAAAUACCACUGCAGUUGUCUAAAUCUAUGAAAUGUUAGGAGUAGUGAAGUUUAUCCCAACUCCAAAUUAUUUAUUAUAUCCUUAAUAUAUAGCUGUUCUCGCAUCCAGUUAGGUUUUCUUAUGUCUUACUAUCAGCCAUGAUCAUUCUACUCUGCUAAUUAAAAGGAUGUUUAUAUGCAUAUUACCCCCCAAAAAAAAUCCACAUGAAGUGUCGAAAUCAUGCAGUCCGUGACGGACAUAUUGUUAACGUCUGGUCUAUGUGGUAAUAGUAUAUCGGGCAGGACAUCCAUAUGCUCACCUAACAUUCAUCGACCUUAAAUAUGGUUUAUCAUCUGAGAUAUGUAUGUAGUAGCAACUUUACAAGGCAGCUCAGUCUAAUGUUAGCCUAGAAAAAAGUUAACGUUUGUGUGGAGUGUGAAGCUGAACAGUAGCGCGUCUUUGACAGAUGGAGGCACCGCUGCGAUUAUUUGCUCUUAAAAUACUUUGUCAUUUUUGGUCAUACAGAUAAGAGUAAUUCAUCUUUUGUAUCUGUAAAGACUCUACAUUUAUUCGUGUGCACUCAGUAUAACAACGAAACGUUGCGCUAAAAAUAAUGAAAUCAAACAUGAUGUGCUUUCUGCCGUCUUGGACUCUGUGAACUUGAGCGUGUCACUUCACUUGUCACCCGAUGCUUGACUUAUUACAGGCGCAUACAGCGGAGAUGACGAGUCAGUGUUGCCGACUUCAUCUCUUAAACCAAAAACAGAAAGCACUAGUUUAACAAUAAAUUAUUAAAACGUUAAUGCAGUGUACUUGCUGUUUUUUCCUAACACAUUUACAAUUAUUAUAUUUGCCGGUGCGCUGUGGCAAGCCUUUUUUGCAUGCAAUUAAAGAUUAAAGGCUCAUUAUUAUGAUUUACAUGGUUUAUUAAUAAAAGUGUGACUAAUAGUUGACUAAUGCUUAAAAUGAACGUCUACUAGUCAACCAGAAAAAUCUUUAGUCGAGGGCAGCCCUAAUGCAUAUUGAAUAAUUGUUUAUGAGAAUCAUACAUAUAAGAGACUGACAAUUAGCUGAAUAUAUAGACUACUUGUUUAAUUAGUGACACUUAAGCCCUAUUUAGAUGGUAAUUGUUUCUCAGGGGGACGUAAGUGAUUUUCACCAUUUACAAGGUGUAGUCGGUGAUUUUAUUGCUGUCUGAAUCCAGGAUGCCGGUGUUUUUCUCUCACCACCCCCAUAAAAAUCCCCAGCCAAAUUUUUGACAAACAUCGAGGUUGUGUGGUAAUUUAAUUGCCGUCCAAAUCCACAUCUCUGAGUUUACAAGAAGUCGUUGAUUCAAAAUUCAGUUCUUAAACCCUUUUUGAGCACUCCCGAACACCGUAAGGUACUAUAUGUUAACUUUGUACUUCGGUGUAAUUUGCAUACAUAUUUAUUUCUGAAAUGCUGGAAAGUAUUUAAAAGAACAAUACUUCAUAACUGCUCACAGCGACUGGGAGCAGAAAGAGAAGAAAAGCACGUAAACAUUCAAAAUGGGUCUUUAUUAUGGCAGCAGCAGAUAUGCAAUACAGUUUUAAAAUGUGUAAUAUAAAUGGAUAUAUAAGCUACAUAACUAUAUCGCGUAUAAUUAUAUAGUGCGUCUUUUUAAACAGGAGAUUUAAAUAACCAAAUAAUAAAUAGAAUUAUAUAUUAUAAAAUAUGCUUGGAAUAAUGAGAAUACAUUUUACAUAAUAAUAAGUAUUUUAAAUGCAAUUUACACAAUAAGAAUACAUUUUGUAAAUAAAAUUCAUUUUAUUUACAGCAGACAAUUAUAUGACUGGUCACGUGAGCAGCGCGUUCCCAGGUUCGUAGGAUCACAGAACUCACUCCUCCUCUGUGAAUAGAUCGCCAUCCGAAUCCAUGAGUUUUAUCACUGAGGUGAUAUGUACAUUUAUUUUUACAGACGUCCACACGAGAAACAAUUGCGAAUCGGGCUUUAGCCUGCAUUUUAAAACCUUUAUUUGAAUAUGGCAACAUAAUAUUGCGCUCUACAAUUUUUCUAUGAAUAAAUCUCUGACAGAGACUAUCAGCCAAUCACUGUGUGCAUAGUUAGUAAGUAUGCUGACAUAAUCCAUAGCAACGAGGUCAACCCUGCCCCCUUACUCUUAGAUUAAGACUUCUCUCUAUUCCUUAGUAAAAGUUUGUCUCUGCAGCUUUGUGAAUAGGUUUUAAGAGAAAACUCUUAGCUAACAACUUUUACUGCUAUUUAGGAGAACUCUUAGUGGUAAGAUAAAAUGUUUUGUGAAUACGGGCCAAGGUCUUUAACAUGAUUAGCUAUAAAAGGGAAGUCUUUGAGAGGCAGAGUCUCUUAAUAGUAAAGAUGGGCAGAGGAUCUCCAAUCAUCCGCAUUAAACAGUUGAGUGCAGCAGGCGCAAUGAUAUUAUGUAGCGCAUGAAAAUAGGCUUAUUGGAAGUUACCUAGCUGGGACUAUUUUCAGGCGCUGCGUAAUAUCAUUGCACCUGCUGCAACCAUGGUACGGCAGCAAAGUUCCUUGAUUAUUACGCUGGAAUGAGAGUAUAAUUCCUAGCCAUAUCGGCCUAGAAAAUCACAACUUUUAAUUUUCACAAAGUAAAUACAUAAGAGUCAAGUUUUAAAGGUGCCCUAGAAUUUGAAAUUGAAUUUAUCUUGGCAUAGUUAAAUAACAAGAGUUCAGUAUAUGGACAUGACAUACAGUGAGUCUCAAACACCAUUGUUUUCUCCUCCUUAUUUAAAUCUCGUUUUUGAAAAACACCCCUGAAAAAUAGGCAAAUCUCCACAUAACAUCGACUGUGACGCAACAGUCGGGAUCAUUAAUAUGUACGCCUCCAAAAAUUUGCAUAUGCCAGCCCAUGUUCAAGGCCAGGCGGAACUGCGCAGCUGAAUCAUCGGAAGUUCUGCAGGUGAAGAAACAGAGGAUCAUAGGGAAAAUGGCAGAUCAUGGAAAUGAAUGUUAUGUUCCAGGCUGUGCAGGGGAUGUGAGGACUUUUCAUACCCUUCCCACAGAAAAGAAAUCUCAACAGGCGUGGUUGAUGUUUAUCUAUAAUCGGAUAC